rnacentral:tRNA from 1 species
GGCGGCGUAGCUCAACAGCAGAGCAGGAACAUCAUAAGUUCAAGGUUACAGGUGCAAGUCCUGUCGUCGCCA